rnacentral:rRNA from 1 species
UACGAACCGUGCAAACGUUGUUCGGAUUCACUGGGCUUAAAGGGCGCGUAGGCGGGUGGUCAAGUCAGGGGUGAAAUCUUUCAGCUCAACUGGAAAACAGCUUCUGAUACUGGCCAUCUUGAGGGAGGUAGGGGCAUGUGGAACUUCCGGUGGAGCGGUGAAAUGCGUAGAUAUCGGAAGGAACGCCGGUGGCGAAAGCGACGUGCUGGACCUUUUCUGACGCUGAGGCGCGAAAGCCAGGGGAGCAAACGGG